CAGUCGCCGCGGUAAUACGUAGGGUGCGAGCGUUAAUCGGAUUUACUGGGCGUAAAGCGUGCGCAGGCGGCCCGUUAAGACAGGUGUGAAAUCCCUGGGCUCAACCUAGGAAUUGCGCUUGUGACUGGCGGGCUCGAGUACGGUAGAGGGGGGUGGAAUUCCUGGUGUAGCAGUGAAAUGCGUAGAGAUCAGGAGGAACACCGAUGGCGAAGGCAGCCCCCUGGGCCUGUACUGACGCUCAUGCACGAAAGCGUGGGGAGCAAACAGGAUUAGAUACCCCCGUAGUCCCUGUCUCUUAUAC
rnacentral:rRNA from 1 species